UUUCUACUCCCUCCGUCCAAAAAUACUUGUCAUCAAAAUGGAUAAAAAUAGAUGUAUCUAAAACUAAAAUACGUCUAGAUACAUUUCCUUUUAUCCAUUUUGAUGACAAGUAUUUCCGGACAGAGGGAGUAUUUG
rnacentral:pre_miRNA from 1 species